UUUGUUUUAUCAUGUACGCAUUCGCAGAUUGCGAAUUGCUGCAUCUUCUUUGUUUUUAAUACUUCACAGGGUGCAGCUCAGAGAUUAAAGAAGAUGACAGCAGAUAGCAGACAAAUCAUUAUAAUAAUCGCAUUUAAAUUAAACAACCAUCAUAACUUAGUUAAUUAUAAUGGCAAACUCAUCCCCUAGAUAAAUAUCUAAAGACUAAAGACUCAACAGCCAAAAGUGAAGCUUGUGAUGGCAAAUUACAACUUGCCAAAGAUAUCGUAAAGAAUGUUGAUGUCUAUCCAGGGGAUCAGGAGCGAUGUCGAUACCCAAGCUGUUGAGUGUCUUGGCAACCAAAGCAACGACACCACCAAGGACAUCACCCAAACCCACAAGAACGGAAUCGAGUGCGGAGUUGACCUCCUUAACGAGGCCACCGACCGCAGGAAGGGAAAGGAGAGUAACAUCGACGGGAGCGAUGAGGCCCUUCACAUCGGCGGAGACGGUAGACAAAAGAGUGGAGACUUCGUUUGCGGUGUUGUCACGACUAAUUUCUGUCAGAGAAAGGAUCACCUUAGAUUGUUAUGAACGGCUUACGCAACAACGUCUGUGUCGACGUCACGCUUGGAGGAACCAAUGUGGAGAGCCGAUUUUGCAGUGUCGAAUGCCUCCUUAACUGCAGUGAGCACAGCAGUCACUUCGCCCUCAGUGGAGUCCCCGGAGAGCGGGCCGGCGUUUUUCUAUCCAGCCAAUAAGGAUGCCAACGUAGUCAACAGUUCGAGGGGCAAGGGAUUCAGAUCUAGCAACAAGGGCGUCGGAGGCCUUGUUGUUGAGGGGAACGGCGAAAGCAGACCCGACGAAAGGGAGAGCGGCAAUGAAGAACGAAGUGAAUCGCAUGUUGUUCGUGGUAGUCAGAAGGGAAAAUUGCUUGUUGAAGGGAAGAUUGGGAGGGUGUGUGAGGGAUGUCUAGUUGCGUUGAUGAUGGGAUAAGUGUCAUUGACAGGGGGUUUUUAUACCUUGCAGCACGCACCGGAGGUCCCCCAAUUUCACCAUAUGUGGUGGCCGUCGAUCUAACCGGACUGGCAUGCAGUAUGAGUCAAUGGAAAUGACAGGUUCGGUGGGAAUGACUUUAGGUUCAGACUUCAAUGAAAUUAACAAUCAGUAAUCAGUAGCCGGUAGACAGUAGAUAGUCAUAGAUCAUAGACAGCAGAUGAGUAAUGAGCAAUUUCGG
rnacentral:sRNA from 1 species